UGGGGAAUUGUUCGCAAUGGGCGCAAGCCUGACGACGCAACGCCGCGUGGAGGAUGAAGACCUUCGGGUCGUAAACUCCUUUCGAUCGAGACGAAUGGCCUCCGGGUGAACAAUCCGGAGGAGUGACGGUACCGAGAGAAGAAGCACCGGCUAACUCCGUGCCAGCAGCCGCGGUAAUACGGAGGGUGCGAGCGUUAAUCGGAAUUACUGGGCGUAAAGCGUGCGUAGGCGGCCCGCCAAGCCAGAUGUGAAAGCCCUGGGCUCAACCUGGGGACGGCAUUUGGAACGGGCGGGCUAGAGUUGGGUAGAGGGGGGCGGAAUUCCGGGUGUAGCGGUGAAAUGCGUAGAUAUCCGGAGGAACACCAGUGGCGAAGGCGGCCCCCUGGACCCAAACUGACGCUGAGGUACGAAAGCGUGGGUAGCAAACAGGAUUAGAUACCCAUGUAGUCCCUGAGCGGGCUGGCAAGGCGCAU
rnacentral:rRNA from 1 species